GCAUCUCUGGAAGUGCAGUGUAGAACAUCAUACAUUUUUUAGGUAUGUUAAUUGGAUAGUUUUGUUCAUCAUUUCUAAUACAUGAAAAUGGCACUUUUUUAUAGUGGAAAUUAUGUCCAACAGAAAUUUUAAAGCUUUUCUCUUUUGUUUAUUUUGGCUCAGUUCUCUGGAUGGCAUUAGAUAAGCAUCAUAUACACGUGUGUGUACGUAUGUACAUGUUUGUAAACAUGCAUGUAUAUAUAUACAAUGUAGACAGUACUUGCACUGUAAGAAAGGAUCAAGUAUUCUGGAAAUCAAGUAUUCUGCUGUGGACAUAGUAAAUUUGAAAAGCCUAUGAGCCAUCCAUGUGGUAAGGCAAUUGGGUAUACAGGGCCCGGUGGAAAGGUGAAGGUUGAUGGUGUAACUUUAGUAGAUAUUUAAUACAGAAGGGAUGGGUUGAGAUCAACUAUGGAGAAAACAAAGAGAGGGAAACUCAGAAAUCUAAGAACUGAGCUUUGGAGACAAGAAGAGCCAGCUGAGGGACAUGAGAAGGAACAACCAGGAGAGGAUGUCAUGUACUGGGAAAUCAGGAAUAGGGGGCCAGCAACUAUGUGCAGCCUUCCGGGGAGGGCAAGUAAGAUGAGGACAGAGAACUGACUACUGGAUUGUGGGGACCUUUUUCCUUAUUUCACAUCCUUGUGUCAUAAAGAUAAGAUAAAAUUUUAGCAGAUAAUACUUUAAACUUUAUUGCUUUAUUUUUGUGUAUAAAAAAUUAAAACAGGAUUGAAUUCUCCCCCUUAUUCCUGGAGAAUUUUGAUUUGUAUGGAACAGUUUAGCUGAAUUGCAUAGUGUUGGAGAAGUAUUUUUGUAAAAUGACUAAAGUCCUCUUUAUGGUUUGUGUCAGGGGAUGAACAUGGCCCAGGAAGCCUAAGACUUUUCCUGCAGGUCAGUGGGACAGGGCUGGGAGCCAUGGCAGUGUCUGUUGAAAGUGCCCUGGAAUGGGAAGUCCUGGAACACAUUAUACAAACAAGAGCAAAACAUCAUAUCUGUCAUGAUUGACUUAUGAGAAUCUUAGGAAGAGUAAAUCAGCAUAGUGACAAAAUUCCCAAGAUAACUUAAACAGAGAAAUUUAAUUCACAACUAAAACCUCCUAGGACAAUAAUGUGUAUGAUAAUUUUUAGAAAGUAUGAGUAUUUGGUAUCAUACAUAUGUAACAUCCUAAGGUGUGGAUGUGUGUCACAUAUGAACUUACAAUAGCCAAUUCCUGAUUCUUUCACUAGCUUUGUUAAACUGUAUUGUACUGUUAAGUUUUCAAUACAGCUUUUUGUUCAAAUAUUGUACAAGUAUCUGCAUUUAUGAGUCUUUGGUUUUCUUUUUAAAAUUAAUUAGAAUGCCAGAAACAGAAUCAAAUUCAUUGUCAAGAAAACUCAGCAAGUUUGGAUCCAUCAGUUAUAAGCAUCGGUACAGGUAAAUGGUAUUUUUUUUCUUGGGGUAUGUGCCUGUAAAUAAGUAUUUAAUUCAGCUGCCCACAUACAUGCACAAGGAAGUGUGCGAUUUAAAUUUUUUCUUAUUUUACCCACAGUGCCAGUGUGUUUUGUAAGCAUAACAACUUAUUAAAACUUUGUUGACAAAAAUGAUUUUCCAGAAUUAAUUAUACUUAAUGUCUGCAUUAGCUAUGUUAAGUUUAGGACUUUUAGAAUAUAGUAUAACUUGUUGUCUUCAGAAUUUUAUUUUGAUUCAAUUAUCACUUAUUUCUAAUUUUAUUCUAUUAUGAUGAAACAAAAUAGAUAUUCUGAAUAUUAACGGAUGGAUUGUGUUCUUAAGAUCUUCAGUUGAUCCCUUAUUAUAACACAACAUAUACUUUAUACUGUAUAUCAAACACACUGUUGAUGUGCAAAAUUAUUGUAUGUAUAUAGUAAUGAAACAAUUAACAUUAUAUCUUGACUUAAUCUGAGCAGCUACUAAAUGCCAUUGUUGUGCUGUUUUCCAUUUAUUGCUUCAUUUAGUCAUCAUAAUCUUCUGUAAUAUUAUCUUUAUUAAUAUAUGAGGAAACUGAGGCUCUGAGAGGCCAAGUGGCUUCUUACGAUAACACAGCUAAGAAGCAGUGAGAUGGGAUUCACACCCUAGCAUUCUAACUCCACAGCCUGUCCUUUUAACCAUUAGACAGAUUAGCUUGUUGGAGAAAAAGCCUGACUGUCAUGCAGCUAGGUAGGUGUUUGUGUCUUUUUCUAAUACCAGCAUUAAAAGUGGAAGUGAGGUCUAUAUGGAAAAAGGAUUUGUUUUAAUUCAUUCUGUUCAGUGGAGAGCCUGUGGUGUGCAGGGUAUGGUAUCAAGAGUCCAGAGACACAAAGAAUCAGAUCUAACCACCUCUGCCUUCAAAGAGCUAUAGUAUUCUUCAGGUGGCGCUGCACGACCCCAGGUCUUGAAAACCCAUACAGGGUGCAGAAAUGCCACACAGCUGGUGGGACGCUGUUCUGUUGGUUCCAUUGGUGAUGUCACUGAAAGAAAUGAUUGCACAGGAGAUUUGAAAAUAAAGCCCACUCAAGUGUUUAUAGGACAGCACUGUGCCAGGUUUUAAUUUUCCUCUUUUAAUAACUCGCUUUUUGAUUCUUAUAUUUGAGACCAAAGACAAUAAAGGAGUGACUAGUAGUGAAUUCGUUUGUACACAAUAUUCAGUUGAAUGUUUGCUUAUUUGAUGACUAAAACUAAAAAUGUUAAUUGUAUUAUAGAUAUUCCUGGUUUUUAAUAUGAAGGUAUUUAUUGAUGUUUCAAUAUUUAACCUGCAGCUUUUCAAGGUUCUGCAUAGAAAGUGAAAUAAUUACAAGUAGUUUAAGGAAAAGAUUCUUUACUUUUAUACUGAGAAGAGUAGCCAGUAGCCAGUAUGUAGGCUGUUCUUCCAGUUGUGGCAUAAAACACUGCCAGGGUUAUAAAGAAAAUGUGUAAAGCUAUCUUCUUGUCACCAAAAUGGAGCUAGUGAACAGACAUCUGCCUUAAUGUUUAUACUAUUAAAAUUAUAAUUAGGGUGUUUAACAUAUGCUGUAGUUGGCUUCCACAAAUUUAGCCACACCUGAUUUCUCAAAUUUAUUGAAAUGCAAAUGUUGUGGCUACUGGGAAUUAUUAUUAGAAAGUUAUUGGAUUUUGCAUAUUUAAUAUGAUUUCUUCCAAGAAUGUAAUUAAAGGUAACCUUUGCAGAAUUGGAGGUUCUGCUAAAUCUGUUCUAAUUUCUUGGCUAAUGUUAACUGCCAAGUAAGUCUUAAUGAAACGCAAAUCAACACAUCCAUACGUAGGAAGCACUAACCUAACACAACCCUUGGAAGAAAGCUGUUUUAUCCUUGUAGACAGAGCUUAGGCAGGGAUGGGUCUCUGACUUCUGGAUGGUCAUUAGCACACAGAUGGUUUAUUGUCAAAAGACAACACACAACCCACCUUUAUCCAGCAUCAUAUGCCUGUCUCAGUUUUGAGACAGUCAGGCAAUAUCCUCACCUGCAAGCAGAGCUCUGAAACACAGACAGCUCCCUGCUUCACCUUGCAGGCUUUAGAGUGUUGGGGAAAAAUAGCAGCCUAUGAAAUGGCUGCAGUGUGUGAAUGUGAGUCUCUGUGCACAUAAGGGUGUGCGUUUAUAUUAGUAUAUAUGAAUAUUUUGAGGGGUGUGCAUUUACACGUAUGUGGUAUGUACAUGUAUGUGAUGGAGGAAGACAAGUGUUCUAGUCUUUAUUCUCUCUUCCAUUUUAGGGCUUUCAGAAUGCCAAGGAGAUUACUAUAUCUUUUGGGAAAUCUAGUAAUUACUUAAAGGAAAAAACAGACAUUUUAAAAUUUAACAAUUUUUAAAUUUUAAAAAAGACAUUUUUAGUGAUAUAGGAUAAUCAGACUUCAAAAUUAAAUUGGAGGACAAUGACUGAGGUGAAAUCAGGUGGUGUUCUAAUUUUCUCUCUCUCUUUUUUGGUACUGGGAAUUAAACCUAGGGGUGUUUAAACACUGAGCAACAUUUCCAGCACCCCCCUCCCCUUUUUUCCUUUAAUUUUUAAAUUUUGAGACAGGGUCUUGAUAAGUUGCUUAAGGCCUUGCUAAGUUGCUGAGGCUAACUUUGAACUUGUGAUCCUCCUGCUUCAGCCUCCUGAGCCACUAGGAUUAGAGGUGUGUAUCAUUGUGCCUGGCCCUAUUUUUUUUUUUAAUUAUUAGGGACCAGCAAUCUGAAAUGGAGAUUGAUUAAAUAUUUGAUUGAUUAAAUGUCUUAUUAUACAUUGCUAUUUCCUUUUCUAAGUCCCUUAAAAAUUAACUCUGCCCUCAUCUGAUGUUAAGUGUAUAGGAGACUCCUGGUUUUGAUGAAUGAAUAAGUUGUGUGGGAUUAGAACUCCAGAAGUGAGAAUGAGGCCUGAGAAACCCCACUCCCCAGAAACCCAGAUGUUCUUCUCCUAGGACUUAAAUCACAGGCGCCCUUACGGGAUCUCACAUUUCAUGAAGCAGAGAAGAGACCAAGUUCUCAUGAGAACCUCCUUAGUGUCAGGUGCUUCCUUUCACAUGGGCUACUUUAUUCAUUCUAUAUGGUGACCUGCCAAAAAAGGUAUCAGAUCCCCAAUUAUACAGAUGAGAAAUUUGAGCACCUAAAAUAAGGUAACUGAACUAAGGACCCUUAACCACUAAGUAGCAAAUCUGGAACUUGAACCCAAGUGCCUCUCCUCUCCUUCUUUUCCCUCUUGCUCCCUGUGAGGCUGAAGGACUUCUGAUAGUGUCACUUAACAUAGAAGGGGGUGUAUGCCAGAGUGUGAGAGGGCAGGGAAGUGGGUGAUUGUGGAAAUAGAACUCUGCCCUGUCACAAUAGAGAGUCCCCAGACAUGCAGAGAGACCCUAUAACCAUACACUGUCAGUUUCUAUAUGUAUUUACUCAUCACUUUCUGCUACAAAGAAAUAGAAUGCUACAUAAAACUAUUUGUAUUAGGAUAUAGUAAGAACAAAUAUAAAUAUAUAUAAGAAAAAUGAGACUGCAGAGAUUUUUAAAAAUAAAAAUCUGCUGAGGACAAGAUAGCUAGAGAAAGGCAUAGCUAUGUUUUCAAUAGGGCUUGUUGCUUCAAACCAAAGGCUAAUUGUUCUGUCCUUUCUCCCAUGCCACAAGGCUGUGCCAUUAUGACCAACUGAGGGCAGAAAAGUUGGUGUAGUACUGGGACCUGUGCAAACUGUGGCAGAUCAGUUUGUUUCUGGACCUUAGCCUUAUUAAUCUUGUGAUGUGAUUUUCUCAUUUCUCCUCUGUUCCCAAGAGAGAAACCAAGAGGUAAAAUUGAAUAAUAAAGUACAAUCUCAUUAUAAAAUGUCUCAGUGGUUCACAUAUUGGAUUAUAUUUUCACAGCAAAUAUUUUCUUCCUCUGUGUAAUGAGGUACUCAGUGCCCAAGUCUUUCUAAAACAGAGAAAGUCUUGUGUCAGUAGAUCUGAUCUUCAUACUCCAGUCAUUUUUAAUAAUGAAAUUCUGCUAUAUCUGUGGAUUUUUUUUAACUUUUUCAGAAAUUUAUGUUCCCUUAUAUACCUUUGAAAAAAAUAGGUGCCCUUUCACUUGAAAAUUUAACUAUCACAGCUUGUUCCCCUCCACUCCAGUUCUCAUGAACUGUUAAACAUGAAGUACUGUCACGGAUGGAAUUUGGCACCUUAAUUCACAGAGUAGCUCAUUCCUGGUAAUGUCCUAAUUAGCCUGAUGAGAAGUUACUUUUUUUUUUUUUUAAUGAAUGUUGUUGCACUUCUCUGUUUUUUUUCUUUUUUGGUGGUACUGGGUUUGAAGCCAGGUGCACUCUACCACUGAGCUGCAUCCCCAGCCCUUUAUGUCUUAUAUUAAGACAUGAUCUGGUAAGUUUCCCAGGCUGGCCUCAAACUUGGAAUCUUCUGAGUAGCUGAGUUUACAGGCAUGUACCACCUCACCUCCUCACCUGGCUACAGUCAUCUUUAUUUCUAAUAAAAGUGGAUAGUGAGAAGGGGAAAUAUUCAAAGAAGCAUAUAAGAUGAAUUUCACAUUGUUAUUGUUUAACCACCUUUUGGGAGACAUUUAUCAAUCUUUAUUCUGUAAAUGUAGGACAAAUAGAAUUGGGGGCCAGUAAAAGACUUUUUUUUUCCUCCCAAGAUGGCUCUCCUCAUAGUGAAACAAAAUAAACAUAUAGAAAUGCAUUUUUUUCUGUACCUAAACAGUGUUUUUCUUUAUGAAAACUAGGGUCAUUCACUGGCUCAAAUUCACCAGUUGUGGAAUUAAUUUUUAGUAAAAUAGCUGUUCACUGAAAUCUAACAAAUGAAAUUAUACAAUUCCCUGGGAAAAUUACUUAAGAAGCCUUGUCCAGCCCCAGGGGAAGCUCACCCUCUUGAACCCUCAUGGAAUCUUUAGAGAAUAUUCUAGGCCUGCUUUCCAAUCUUCCAUGUGAUCUGUUAGGUGAGGUAGGCACAAUAAAUGGCUAAUUGUGCCAUGGUGGGUUUCAGAAUAAAACAACACAAAGUGGUCCUGCAGGGAUGCUUCACAGCUUGCUCUGUAAGGACAAUAGGGGACUUCCCUGUGGGAUUGUUGUUCUUGUGUAAUUUCACCUGACAUGAUUUACCAUUGAGUUGUGGAGCUCAAGAAAUCAGAAACCUUUAUUUCUAGCCCAUCGUUCUUCUUUUUUUUUUAAUAUUUAUUUUUUUAGUUGUUGUUGGACACAAUACCUUUAUUUACUUAUUUAUAUUUAUGUGAUGCUGAGGAUCGAACCCAGGGCCCCACACGUGCUAGGCGAGUGCUCUACCGCUGAGCCACAACCCCAGCCCCCGCCCCUGCCCCCCACAAAUCUAACUCCUUCUUUAAUAAACCCUUUCUUCCUGUUUCUCCCUCAUAAAGAUCUUCCUCCUAAUAUAAAUUCCCGUCUAAAAUUUAAGGUACUUCCUUAGCCAAUUUUACAAUGAAUAAUAUUAGAAACCUCUGUAUGUGGAUGGCCAGUCGAGUCUUUAUGUUUAUUCUUCUUUACAGCUAUUCUGAAUGAGCUCUUGUUUAAUUUUGUAGCUGUGUGAUUUUACCUUUGCUAAUCAAAAUGUUGCAUUUUCAAGUGGCAGGACAGCUUCACAAAUGAGCCGAGAUCUUUCUAUUCAACUUCCCCGGCCUGAUCAGAAUGUGUCAAGAAGUCGAAGCAAAACUUACCCUAAGAGAAUAGCACAGACACAGCCAGUUGGUAAGUCAUGAUGCCUUAAGUCAUCUGUGUAACUUUGCAUUUUCUUUUAGGCUCAUGGUACAAGACAUGCUCAGGUAGUGACUAUAAUCCUGUAUGUAGUCUCUUUAUUCCUUUUUUUUCUUUUUUGGUACUGCAGAUUGAAUCCAAGGACACUUUACUAUUGAGCUGCAUCCCUAGUUCUUUAUUUUUGACAGAGGCCCUCACUAAUUUGCUGAGGGGGAGAGUCUUGCUAAGUUGCUGAGGCUGUCCUAGAACUUGUGAUCUGCCUGCCUCAGCCUCCCAAGUCAUGUACCACUGUACCUGGCUUUUUUUUUUCUUUUUCUUUUUGAGACAGAGUUUGCUAAGUUAAGGCUGGUAUUGAACUUGAGAACAUACUUCCUUAGCUUCUCAAGUCACUGAGAUUACAGGUGUGCACCAUCCCACCGGGCUUAUAGUCUUCUCGUUCUUACUAGUAGAAUAUUUAGUUUGACCUUGGUAAUAUUCAAUCAGUAAUUAUUCAUUUGUAGAUAAGUAGUCACUUGUAGAUAAGUAGUCAUCCUGACUUGCUUAAUGAUUAUAGUUUAUUUUUGAAAGGGUUUUAUUUUAUAAAUAAAAUCUCAGCUUAGUAAUUUCUUUGGUGAUUUGACAUUGAAUUGAAACAAACUCUUUGCAAAAGUCUCCUAAAAACAAAACAAACAAACAAACAAAACACUGGUGAUAUAACUUAAUUUGUACAAAGUUUGUUUGGGUUUUUGUUAUUGUUUGUCUUUCAGUAUGAAAUAUAAUACAGAAAGUGCAUGAAAUUCAGACAUGCACAUGUGUAUAUGGGCAUAUAUGCAUGUGUCCGUGAGUGUGUUGUGUACACAAAGUUUAAUAUAACUAGUACCCCCCCAUCGAGUCCCUCAUGGCAUUUCUUUGAUCAUAUUCUCAUCAUCCAAUCUCUCCAGUUAGAAGAAAUCCUGUCUAACUUGUGAUCAUUAUUUUCUACUUUCCAUUAUUAUUUACUUCUGAUAGAGCCUUUGCCUGUUCUUAAUCAGACAUGUGCAUAUUCUUUUGCAUCUUAUUUUUUGUAUCAACAUGACAUGUAAUGGGUACUAAAGUGUAUUUAUUUUUCUUGCUGUGAGUAUUCCAGAGGUUGACAAUUUUAUCUAUUCUACUGUUGGUAGACAUUUGAGUUUCUUGAUUUUUUUUUUGUUUCUGAUGUAGAUUAUUUCUUUAAUAAAUUAAUCAGUUUUAAUUUAUAUGUUCAGUGCUCAAAGCCCUCAGAAUUUUACUGUAAAAUAAUGUUGCUGACUUGGGUCUGUGGCUUGCUUAUAGAUUACCCUUGUCUAACUCUCUCCAGAUUCAUUUCACAUAUAACAUCUCAUUUUAGUCUCACAAUAACUUUGUUUGGUGGAAUGAGGCAAGUAUGUUCACAUUUUAUAAGUGAGGGAGACACAACCCCAGCAGCUAUACAGAGAUAGGGUUGGGGAAGGAACCCAAGGUCUCCUGGGUCUUUCUGUCAUAUUAUGUGAAGUCAAUAGAAUUUUUAAAAAUAUCUUUAUUUUAUUUUUAUGUUGUGCUGAGGAUCGAACCUAGUGCCUUAUGCAUGCUAGGCGAGCUCUCUACCACUUGAGCCACAAUCCCAGCCCCUGAAUAGAAUUUUUAAUAAUAGAAGUUAAAUCUGAACAUCAUAUGAAAAUUUGCAAAGCAUUAUGACAUCUACUGUUUCAUUUAAUCCUUAUUAAAUGUCAAGCCUAUGAAGUGUAUGAGUUUGUUUCACCAUUUCUGGGUGUGAAGAUGGCAUCUGACUUAUCAUUUCUAAAGCCAAAUUAAAUCCAAGAAGGUCCCCUUCUUUCAUUGAACUGGGAGGAAACAAUCCUUUUCUGGUGGUUCUAUAGGGGCAGAAAUAAAGCAUGAUUUCAAUUUGUAAUAGAUUACCUUGCCACAUCACUGUUACUGUUAUUCCUCACUUAGCUGAUGAGGAAACUGAAGAUUUCAGACAGUUGGUCAGUAUUAGUAUGGAGCAAGUUCAAUUAGUUACCAAUUAGUCUGGUUACCAAUUAGUCUGAGUACAAGGAGACAGAACACACUCAAGUGUAACAAGUUACAUGGAGUAGAUUUAUUACUUACAGUUAGGUAGCAUGGGACAAAAGAAGACUAGAAUCUCUUGUGAGUUGGUCCUCCAGGCUCAGUAAAGCUUCCUGGGACAGAGUCUUAAUGGAGUAUACUUCACUUCCACUACACCUUAAAGGACCCUAAAAGGCAGCUCACUCUGGAUUACAUACCUAAGUGGUCAUGUGACUCACUAGACUUUAAAGCUUUGGUGGACAUCUUGCUUCUAGAGAAGAGAGGAACAAAGCUUAGGCUGUCCUCAGGGGUUUCUUCCUAACUCAAGAUGUUACAGUCCCUAGGAGAGACAGGAAUAAGGGCUGGGCUAAUCAGGGUAGUUCCUCUCUAUCUUAUGAUAUCUCAUUCCUAGCGUAUUUUACAGUUAUUCUUGAGAUCCAUAGGCAAAAAAGCCUGGGUUGGGCCAAGGCCACCCAGAGGACUUUCUUGCAAUUACAUAAUAAUCCUAGGCCAAAAAUUCUAGUCUUCUAAUGCCUAGUUUUAUGCUUUAUCUUAAUAUUUUGUAUUACUUUUAUAUGAGCAGUCUGAAGUCCCAUUUGGAUCAAUUAUACUACAGCUAUAGUUAAUAAGAAAACCUUCAAAUUCUGUGCUAUUUCUGAAACACCAUGAAUGCCUUAUAAAAUUAUUCUGAGACAAACUGAGAAUAUUAAAAACAUUCACUGCCUCAAGUCAACAUUUCAUUCCACUUGUGAUGUUGGAAUCACAUAUGCUAUCUCUAUAAACCUGUGCAAUUUGCUUUUUUUUUUUGGUCUCCUGUGCUUUUAUGAAAUAUCUGCAUAUAGUCUACUGGCUGGAACACUUUUUCUUUGUGCUUUCCAUAGAAUCCUAAAUACUAGAAGCUGGAUUUAGGGACAAAUCUUUUUUUUUUUUUCCUGGCUUUUGUAGAUUCAGCCAAAUGCAGUUUUCACAGAGCAACUUGGAACUAUAUUGCGCUGUCAAAUCCAUGCUAACAAGGUCACGUCUCAGGUUCCAUUCUGUUCUGCUGUGAAAGAGCCCCCUGUAGCAUGGUCUGUUGGUUGAGCAUAUUGGAACAGAUUCCUUCUUCAUUAGGGGAUGAGGGUACAGGUGGGGCAUGACAUGGAAUAGGUGUCCUUUUUUGAGGACAGCCUUCUAGCAUCAAGUGGGUCUUUAAAGAAUGUGACAUGUCGUAUGCCUUUACUAAUAUCAAAAUAUAUAGUUAUUUUAUAAGAUUUAGAAAACUUAGAACUUUCCCUCACAAAAAAGAAAAAAUAAAGCUUUCAUAUUCAGUUCUGUCUUCUAGUACUAGCUAUGUAUUAUUAUAGCCUGUUAAUUGUUCAUAUAUCUUUCCUAGAAAAAUGGAAUGAUAAUGUUUUACAACAGAAUUGUCUUCUUUAAUAUAUCAUGAAUAUGUCCUACAUCAUUACAUGUUCUUAUGCAGCACCAGUUUAAUGUCUGGAUGAUGUUCCGCUUUAUAGAUUUUUAUAUAAAUGUGACAAUUUAUUCAACCAAUCCUUAAUUAUCGGAUACUUAAGCUGUUUUAAUAUUUGAAAACUAUAACUAUAGCAAAUAUCCCUCUAGUAAUGUCUUUAAGCAUUCAUGAUUAUUUAUUAUAUAUUUUAAACAAUGAUAUAUACCAAUCAUUUUUAUUCUAAAAAGUGUUUAAGACUGCUAAAAGCACAUUCCACUUUGAAUUUUUUUUUAGUAGCUUAUGCUCCACAGUACUGUGAUCUGUUCUGUGAAUCCCUAGAUGACCCUCCCUAUGACAGUAUGAUUGUCCUGAGUGAGGAAGUACUGCUUAGCAAAUGCCAGUGAUCCACUAUUGCAGUUGCUAUCAUGCUAUGUAGGAAGAAUAUUGUCAGGGAUAAUUUUCUUCCAUUUUUUAAAUACUGAAUUUUCUUGUUUUUCUAUUUCAAAUGUACUCUGCAUUGGGUCUUAAUUGACCCUGGCUGAUAGAAAGGCAGUCCCUCACUCCUAAUACUGUGGUGGGCUUCUGAUUCAGAGCAGAGGUUUGAAGAGGCCCUCUAGUCUUCAUUGCACUAGCAUGGCUGUGCUUGUUAUAUGCAUGCUCCUUUUCCAAGCCCUGCAGGCCCCACAAAGGUGGGCAGUCUGUGUAAAGCCAGUCUGAGUGAGAGUAAGAGGGGAAGGGUCUGUGAUCAGUUUGGAAUCCUCUUGGGCCUAGGGUCCAGGCUACCUAAAGAGAUCUUCCUGUCACUCUGCUUUUUCCCAUCUUCCUCCUGCUCUGCUGCUUCAGAAUAGCUCCUCACUCAGAAGCUUCCUUUCUCUGGAACUUAUUCAUGAGUAGUUGGGCGAGAAUGAACAAUGGCUCUCUCAUUUUUUUUUUAUUCAAAAAAUUUUUUUUAAUUGGACUGGAAUUGGAGCUCAGUGGUAGAGCUUUUGCCUAACAUGCAGAAGACCCAGCCCUGAGUAGGCUUCCCAGUACCUCUCUAAAAAAAUUAAAUUUUUUUUUUACUAGCUAGAGGAAAACAAAAGUGUUACCUUAGUAAAUUACUUUGCCAUAGUUACUUUUCUUAUUAUUUAAAAACACAGAAAAAGUUUUUUUAUGAUAGUAUACUAUAUUUGGCAGAAAUAAAAUUAUAGUUUAAAUAAGGAGAUUUAGUUUUACCUUAAUCAGGCCAGAUAUUAAUUUUUGUAGAGGGAAUUCUGUUGGUAUUCUUUUUAUUUUUUUAAUAUUUUUUUUAGUUGUAGAUGGACACACAAUGUCUUUAUUUAUUUUUAUGUGGUGCUGAGGACCGAACCCAGUCCUUCACACAUGCAAGCAAGUGCUUUACCACUGAGCUACAGCCCCAGCCCCAGCCCCCAUUAUUCUCUUUAAAUGAAAUUUUAGAGUUACAGUUUUUGGAUUAUCAGCACACAUUCUCACUUCUCAUUUAACAUUUAUGUAUAAUAAAAAAUAAGUUCUGAUAGAAAGGAGAUUUUUACUUUUUGUUAGUUUGUAUCAUUAACUUAUAGUAAUGACUUUUGUUUUAGAAGACAGUCUCUUAUUUCUUCUGAAGUUACAGUAAUUCAAUCCAAUUAAAUGACUAUUCCCCUUAACCAUAUCCCAGUUCUCUAUAAGUUUAAAAAGCAUUUUAUUCACCCCUCAGUAAGGAACAAUAAAUGCCUGGUAACUAAAAAGCUAUUGUGUUUAGAAUCUGCCAAGUGUAGGUCUUGGCACCUCUAUGAGGAAGUACAUUCCAGAGUCAGGAGUUCUGCACCCAGCAGCCUGCUGCCCCACCCAGAGUUCAGCGCCAGGGCAGGCAGCCAGCAUUCCUUGCAAAUCAGAAAUGCUUAGGUGGAGUUUGGGGUAAAUCAGGAAGAGAGAUGCAGAUGGGAAAAGUGUACAUUUGUAUAGGCCUUCUCUGAUAAGGUCUUAGCAACUCAUGCAGGUAGACUUGUCAGAAGAGUCUCUGCUAUAGGUAAUCAAUAAAGACGGAAUAUUUAGAUAUAAUCCAUAAUUACCUGUAAGGAAAAUAUUGAGUGAAACCAACCACAGUGGAUGAACAAUGGUAGGAUUCUCUGAUGCAGCAUUUUAAGGUCAUAAAUGUAUCCCACUGAUGGACACAGAAGUAAGUGAUCACAGCAGCAUCUUCAGACUGAAAAGCACAACAGGAUGACAUAUAUCAUAGCACAUAACUAAUGAUUCACCUGGGGCUAGCUGGCCAGCAUUUCUGUUUGUGACCUGAGGUGGGUGCACCCAGAGCAGGGGAGAGAGAGAAAUGCUUUGAUAUAGUAAAGUACAGUUUCACUUGGGGCAGUGUAGCUCUGGGCUUUUGAGAAAUAGUUAAGAAAGUAAACAUUGAAUGUUCAAAUUCCACAUAUUUCACUAAGAUUUUGCACUAAAAUGUCAUAAGGUGAUUUGUUCAGUGACAUUACUCUCUGCCCAAAAUAUUUUAAAUAAGGAAUGCUUUAAAUACCAAAGCCAUAGCAAGAAGAUCCAUUGGUGCUAUUAAGCAGCAUGUGUAUUUUAUGUAAUAUAAAUACUUCUUUCCUGGAACAAAAAAGAAAGUAAUUAUCAUAUAUUGGGCACUUCCUCUGGUUGGCACAUUGUGUCAGAUGUGAGAGUCAGCAGAAGCUCAGCUUGGCUUUUGGCAUUUAGAUCUUUUUUGUUAAAGUAGAGGAAAGGCUACUGUGUGAAGAGACCAGUGUGUCAGAUAGAGGUGGUGUGGAUCUGGUAAGUCUGUGUUCAGCUUCAGUAGUACAUGUGUCAAAUGCGUAGCAUUAUAAAGGCACUUAGCCAACCAGAGCUUCAGUUUUUUCAUCUGUGAAAUGGGGAUAUUGCCCCCUGCCUCAGAAUCGUCAACAUGGAAAUGGUGUUUGAAAUGAGCUGAACAUCCUGUCAGACUUUGGUAGGAGCUUGGUACGUAUACUUUAGUUUCCUUCUCCUAAAAUAGAAGGAUUUCUUUCUAUAUACAACAUGAAAAGGUCUGCAAAUCCACCUGUCAGUGUUUGAAUUAUAUUUACAAUAAUAGUGUCCACUUUAUAUACAAAGGAUAAUAGGUUUAUGUUAAGGAGCUGUGGGCUUGAGAGUGAGGGAUGGGGAGAGGCCAUUCAAGUAUAGUGAGUGGAGCUUGGGAAGGAAAUUGGGGAGUUUCAUUUUAUUCUAGUGCAUUCAGUAUAAAUAGGGAGUGGAGGAAAUAGGCAAGCCCAAGCACACACUGCCUACAGGUUCUUUUGCCCUGCUCACCUGCAGAUCUUAGCAGCCAGGCAUAUUGUGAGCACAUUUAGGGGUUUUCUUCCUUACUGGGUUUCUACUUUUCAGCGUAGCCUUUCGUUCAAGCUAUUUUUUAAAAUCAUGGUAAAAAAAUUAAGUUCACUGUAUCUGCCAUUUUAAGUGUAAAAUCAGCAGUGUUAAAGAUAUUCACAUUGGCCUACAACAGAUCACUAGAACGUUGUCCUCUGUAACACUGAAACUCAAAACCCACUGAACACUGACUCCCCUCCUCUCUUGGUAACUGCCUUUCUACUUUCUGUCACCACUUUCCCCUCCUCCUCACUCCAAAUGCUCAUUGCUCUCCAGCCCCAUUGGGGUUUUCUGUGACUAUGAAUUGGAAACAGCAAACUUCUCAUGGUGCAUUCUUAAUAGUGAAGAGAUUGUGGUAAUUUUAAAUUUCACAUAAUUACUCAUUACAUCUUCUGUGGAAGGUAGUGGUAUCCCCCACCCAACUCUUCUUCCCCCCCCCCCCCCCCCCCACCCUUUUUCCCCCCCCCCCCCCUGUUACUGAGGAUUGAACUCAGGGUCUCACAUGCUGGGCAAGUGCUCUCCCACUGAGCUGUAUACUUAGACCCCAUUCUUUCCUAUUUGAAGUCAUUAGUUGCUAGCCCCACCUGAGUGCAUUUUUUCAAGCAGACAAGAGAAGUAAAAAACACAAAGAAAGGGCAAAGACUGAAGAGCUCAGAGAGGGGAAGCAAAGUUAUUGAAUGAGGAACACACAGAAGCCAGGGCUGUGUAUCAGGGAUUUCACAAGUAAACCCCAACCUCUCAGUUGGUCCAGAAAGUUAUUAUAUCAACAAGGUUACUUCUAUAGUAUGAGCUGAACUUUGGCUAAGUUGUCAUCACAGAGACUUGAUAUUACCUAAAUAUUCAAUACUAGGAAACUGACUUAAUAAAAGAAUAUGUUUCCCCAUCUCUAUGGAGCACCAUGUCUCUGUUAAAAGAAUCUGAGAGUGGGAUUUGAACUUUUGUUGGUUUGAUUCCAUAAUUCCACAGUGUGGGCCAUGAAAAGCCAGGCUCCCCUAGGAGCCCACCAGGGGGCAGGAAGAUUAGUGACUCGAACAUCCCUGCAUGCCUGACUCUAUGUGGAUACUGUACAGAUAGUAUCUCACUCCUAACUUUUAGAAGGUGCCUUGACUCUGAGUGUUCAGGUGAGAUAGCAGAGGAUGAGACUUGUUCAAGACCACACAGCUGGGGUCUGUACCCUAGUCAGAUAGUAUCUGUAAUGUAGAAAGAAAAAACAAUCAAACAAAAUGUAUUAAAUUUGUAUAAGCUAAUAUGGAAUGAUCUCCAGGAUAUAGUGUUAGUAAGGUGGUGGAGAAGACAAAAAAGCAUGGAUCCUGGUAUUGUAUAAUAUGUUCCCAUUAUAUAAAAAGACAAAAAUUGAGAGGUAGGGGGAGGAUGCAUGCAAAAUUACUUGCAGGCAGGAUGUGUUACAAACUGGUAAUAGUAGUGGCCUUUGGGAAGUGUUCUGAGAGAACAGGGAUUGGAAGUGGGAGUGAGAUUUAUUUUCAUUUGAUUUUUUUCCAUGUUGUAAUUUUUAAAAGCCCUAUAGAUAAUUGUCAGGAAUGCAUUAAGUUUGCAAAAAGGUUUCAAAUGCACACUCGUUUCCAACAGAUAUAGUCUCAAAAGGCUCAGAGUUAAGGACACUGAUAUUGUACUAGGAAGCAUGCAGUGUCAUUUACAGAAAAAGUAAUGAAACAAUUCCAGACUGCUCAUACAAAAUUCAAGUGUCAAAAUUUCUCCCAUGAUGUAACAGAUAUAGCCUGAGUCUUUGAAGAGAGGGCCGUAAGACACAUUUAUACAUGAACAUGUUAAUUCAGGGUAAUAUACAGAGGGCUGCAGAUCCCUCCUUUUUCAAAGGAGGAAGACUUGGACAGAGGAAGAAGAAGACAAUCAAUUUGUGUUUUAGGCGAGGAAGUAGAGGCUGGAAUAGGUGAUUUGCAAGUGUCCUGGUUGUGCAGCUUGGAGGGUGUCUGGGUAAGACUUUGAGGAAUGUUUGGAAAAAGUGAGGAUAAGGUUCCUGGAAAAAGAUGGUGACAUAAGAGCUUUCAUACCUAUUGGGCCUUUGUUGUUGAUUGUGAAGUUUGUGUUUGUUUAUUCCUUCUGGUCAUCUCAAGAUGAAAAAGAAAAAAUUACUUUUAAUUUUCAUCCAAGAGAAUUAGAACAAAGCAUUCUAACCAAGAACUGUUGAGUAGGUGUUUAGAGAAGAUUUCUAGAAAAUUUAACACUUAGUUUUGGAGAGUGUGAUUGUGGCUCUCCUUUUUCAUGGUGACAGAUCAGAAUUAGAUAAGCUACUGAGAUGUGGUUGAAAUCUGUGUUCCCACUCUCUCCUCACCCUGACUAUAAGAGUAUCUGCUCUGAGGGAGAUUUAGGUUGCUCUUGUCUGAUUAUUUAAACCUUUGCAUUGAGAAGGCCUCUGGUGAAAAAAAAAAAAUAAGAAAGAAAGAAAAAAGAAGAACAUGAAGUUGAACUUGAUUUCAGUAGACCAGAAUUCCAGGUCUAGCUUGGCUAUGACCUGUUGUAACAUGUCACUUAGCAUUUUGAUCUAUCCUUAAAAUAAAACAAUGGGUACAUAAAGAUUCCUAUUCUUCCUUAAAUUCUGGUUUACCUGUCACAGAGUUGGAAGGACUGAAAAAAUAUAUACAUAUAAAUAUAAAAGAAUUUUAGAAACCCCCCCCCCCAUUCUAUUGUUUUUUAAUUUAGCUGUCAAAGCAAAGUUGUCAGAGUUUAGAUCACAAGCCUUUUUCUUUUUGUCAGUAUUGUGGUUUUCUCAAGUAUACUUUUAAAAGACAUCUUUUGAAAAAUAUUAUUAUUAAUUCAUAUUAAUUGUAUAAAUUAAUCUGAUGCACUGAUAUUUCCAUACAUGCAUGGAUCAUGUCCACCCACACAUCUACCCUCAUCUCCCUGUCCCCAGCCCUCUUCCCAGCCUCUAAUAGUUCCUCUUGUACUUUCAGGUCAUCCUUCUUUUUUGUUUCAACAGUUGAGGGAAAAUGUGAUACUUGUCUUUCUGGGACUGGCUAAUUUUUCUGAACAUGAUGUCCUCUAGUUACAUCCAUUUUCCUACAAAUGGCAUGAUUUCAUCCUUAUAUAUUUUUUAUCCAUCCAUAAAUAUAUAUAUGCAUACAUAUUUGUAUAUAUCAUUCUGUAUAAAUAUCUUAUUUUCUUUAUCCAUUUAUCUGUUGAUGGGCACCUAAGUUGAUUCCAUAUCUUGGCUAUUGUGAAUAGUACUGCAAUAAACACAGGCAUACAAGUAUCUCUUAUAUGUUGACUUCAUUUCCUUUGACUCUAUACCCAGGAGUGGGAUAGUUACAUCAUUUGGUAUAAUUUUAAUUUUUUGAGGAACUUCCAUACUGUUUUCCAUAGUGACUGUUCUAAUUCACAUUCUCACCAAUAGUAUUCUAAUUCACAUUCUCUUUUUCUACACAGCCUCACCAAUUGUGUUAUUUUUAUUAAUUUUUUUUUCCUUUUUUGGUAAUAGCUAUUCAUGGAGUGAUAUGAAAUCUCAUUAUAGUUCCAGUUUGCAUACCUGUUAUGGCUAAAGAUCUUGAGGCAUUUUUUCAUAAAUUUAUUAGCUACUUGUAUUUAUUGUUUUGUUUUGGUACUAGGUAUUGAACAGAGGGGUACUUUACCACUAAGCUUCAUCCACGGCCUUUUUUAUUAUUUUAUUUUGAAGCAGGAUCUUCAGUUGCUUAGGGUCUUCUCUGAGUUGCUGAGUUGUCCUUGAACCUGUGCUCCUCCAGCCUCAGCCUCUGAGUCAUUGGGAUUACAGGCAUGCACCACCAUACCUAGCUGUAUUUCUUCUUUUGAGAAGUAUUUAUUUAGAUCAUUUGUCCAUCUUUAAAUGGGAUUAUUUAUAUUUUUUGUUAUGUCUUUAUGUAUUCUGGAUAUUAAUCAGGUCAGAUGAAUACCUGGCAAAGCUUUUCCCGCAUUCUGUAGGUUGUCUCUUCCCUUUGUUGAUUGCUUUGCGAUGGUAUAAUUCCAUUUGUCUGUUUUGGUUUCCUAUACUUUUGGACUCCUAGCCAGGAAAUCAUUGCCUGUGCCAAUACCUUUAAGUGUUUCCCCUAUAUCUUUCUCUAGUAGUUUCAUAAUUUCAGGUCUUAUAUUAAGGUCUUUUAUCCAUUUUGAGUUGAUUUUGGCUGGUAGGGUGGGGGUGUUUACCAGGGAUUGAACCCAGGGGCAUUUAAUUUGUGAGCCACAUCCCAAGUCCCGUUUUUUAUUUUUUAUUUUGAGACAAGGUCUCAUUAAGUCGCUGAGGCUGACUUUGAACUUGUGAUCCUCCUGCCUCAGCUUCCCAAUCCAUUGGGAUUGCCAGUAUGCACCUUUGUGCCCGACUUUGAGUUGAUUUUUUGACAGGGUAAGAGAUAGAAAACAAGUUUGUGUUUUCUAUGCGUGGAUAUCCCAUUUUCCAAGCACCAUUUGUUGAAGAUUCUGUCCUUUCUCUUGUGUAUAAUUUUGGCACCUUUGUCAAGAGUCAGUUGGCUGAAGAUGUAUGAAUUUAUUUCUGGGUCCUCUCUUCUGUUCCACUGGCCUACGUCUGUUUUUAUGCAAAGCAAUGCUGUUUUUGUUACUAUGGAUCUGUGGUAUGUCUCAAAAUCAGGUAUUAUAAUGCUUCCAGCUUCAUCCUUUAAGCUCAAGAUUGCUUUGGCUACUUAGAUUCUUUUGUGCUUUCAUGUGAAUUUUAGGUCUAAAACCACAUUGUAUUUUAUUUUAUUGCAGUACUUAAGAUUGAACCCAGGGCCUUAUGUGUGCCAGGCAAACACUCUACCACUGAGCUACAUCCCUCCUUUUAAAAAUUUUAUUCUGAGACAGGAGUUUGCUGAAUUGCUGAGUCUGGUCUUGAACUUGGGUCUUCCUGUCUCAGUCUCUCAAGUAGCUGGGAUUACAGGUGUGCACAAUAACAUCCUGCUGAAUUUUUUUUUUUUUUUAAUGUAUGGUCUUUACCACCCUAGAAGUUUCACAGACUUGUGAAAAAUAUCUUCCCAGAUUACAAAACUUAUUUUUCUCAUUGGAAAUGUAUAACAUUAUUAUAUUUGUGAAACCUUUUAGUUGAUUCUCUAAAACAGAAUUCAAAUGAGAAACUUAUGGAUAAAUUGAAUAAAACUAGUUGUAAAAGCCUUUGCUUUACUACAGUUUUAAAAUUAUUCUUUUAGUCUAAAGUGACUAUAUGAAUCUGAGAUUUUUACCUCUUUGCUUAAUUCAUGGUUAAAAGCUAGUUUGUCUUGCUAGGCAAAAACCAAAAAGAGACGUUCCUUUCUAGAAAAGCUUGCACAGCUUUGCCUUUGCCUUUUACUUCUUUCUUUGUGAACAUAACUCUAUAGUCUAGUCCUUUCUUGAACUUGCUUGUACUUUUGGAAGUCAGCAGUGGGACUGGCUCCACCUUGGUCGUUGUUUUUCUCACAGUUCUUGAUGCUCUGUUUUGAUCUUAUUAACUUGUUAGGCAAACAUCCCUGUUUUCUUACCCAGCUUUCUUUUACCCAGGCAGGGGUUGGAAGGUUUGUCUUUCAGCCGUUCAGAUUCUGUUUUGGGGGUAGAUAUUCCUGGGCAGAUGGCGUCUGAGAUUCCACACCUUUGUUUUCCUAUCAGAUUCAGGAUUCCUUGUGGUGGUUCCUAUUGCCAGCCUUUUCUUCAGACUUUGAGAAAUCUGGGAUGUAUUUCUCUGGCUCUUUCUGCCUUACUUAUUGAUAUCAAUACGGACAAUGUUUUGGGUUCCCAGAGUUCAGGGUUAUUUUGGUAGGUGCAGGGACAGGAGGUGUGAGGCAAGGGUGAAGGGAACUACUUUCCCUGCAGAGGGAGGAGGUGCCCACUUGGCACUUUGAACACUGCACUGUACAAAUCCUGAGGCCAAGAGUACAGAAAGGGUAUGUGGGGGUGCUCUGUAACUCUGGCCUUGCCUGGGGUAACAGUGGGGCUUCUGAGGAAAACUGGAAUCAUAGACCUUUUCCACAGAGGCUGAAUUGGAAUGCAGCAGAUGAGUCACUCAGCUGGGUGGAGCUGAGUCUUGUGCAGUUUCUUUUACAGCCCAGGUACCAGGUGCACCCCUGAACAGAGAAGCUGUUUUGCAGAGAAAAGAGAAUGGAAUUGACUCACUGUGAGAGCACUGAGAGAUCAUGCAGCGUUGCUAGGAGUGAGGAAGGGAGACUGUGUCAGGAAUUCUAGUCUGUGAGGUCCUGAGGUGUAUUUACCACCAAUUCCUUUUAAGCUGGUUUUUCACUGUACAUAAUCUUUUUAGUAACCUUGUGAGGAAGGUGGAGUGGGGUUGUGUUUUGCUUUAAAAAAAAAUAACAGCGAAGAAGCUGAAGCUUAGAAACAUGAAGUAAUUGUUCAAGGUUACACGAGUAGUUAAGCUGGGGGUGUAGCUCAGCGGUGGAGCGCUUGCUUAGCCUGGGCAAGCCCUGGGCUUGAUCCUCAACAUCCGCACAAGAAAAAAAGUCCUGAUCACAGAUAGUAAGAGCAAUGUCAGGAUUUGCACCUAAGUUUCUAGAAGACUCGGGUGCAACAUUGCAGAAUAAAUGGAAAACAAAAAAGGGUGUGAAAAUACACAUCCUGUUUUUCCCCUGUGAUGCAAUUUCUUCCCUGACUUGUUUCAGCAGAUGUUCUUAAGAAGACACGACAUUCUGUUCACUUACAAUGAGCAAGUGAGCCUGCUGAAAAUCCAGUUUAAAAAAGAAGUGUCUAAGUUUCCUGGGACAUUUUACCUAGCAAAGAGGGGGAAAGGCGUAACUAACGGUGUUAAUUACAGUGAGCUCUAGGCAGAUCACAUAGUCAGGUGCAUAUAUUGUUCAAGGCUGUUUUCCUUUGUUGACACCCUGUUCUAUUCUGCCUUAAAGUCUUAUUUUCAUCCUGUAAAGGAUUUAUUAAUAUAUGUCAAGUCUGGUUAGCUUUUCUCUACAAAGUUAAUGUUUCUACUCUUCUUAGGAGUGUUUAGCAUUCCAAGCAUAGCUGGCAAAAUUAGAAAAGCAAGGAGAACUAAGGGCCUAUUAUAUGUUCAGGUUAAGGUCAUAGUUUCAGAGAAUUGCCAUGAAUGACAUCUUUUUUCUUUCCUUUCUUAUUCACCAAGAAUUUAUUGAGCACCUCUUUGGCACAAGACCCUAUUCUGUGAGGCAUAGAAGGUUGAAUAAAACGUGGCCCUUUAUCUAUAGAAGUUUAGUCAGAUAGAGAUAACAGGGUACUCAUUUAUUUAGCACUUAUUAAAUAUUAUGCACUAUGCUAAGGAUUUUCUAUAAGUUUUAUAAUUUAAUCUUCCUGUUCAUGAUGUAACCCCAUUUUGUAGAUGAAAGAACUGAGGCCCACCGGAGUUUAGUAUCUUGCCCAAGAUCACAAGAUCAAUUGACAGAGGUAAAUGGGCAGAACUGAGAAACAAAUGUAGGUUUAUGGAACUUUCAACUUUGUAUGCCUAACCACUUUGCAAGACAUAGAAAAAGAGAAUACCUGGUUCAGGGGGGCAGGAUAUGUCAAGGGUCACAGAGUGAUGUCCUGAAAGAGUGGCAAGUGUUCAGAAGGAUAAUUUGCUGUGGCUAGAGGCAAUCCAUGAUCCUGUUGUAUAGUUUUUGAAGGCCAGAUAAAUUAGGGAAGUAGAUUUUAAGCUGGGGUAUGUAGCUACUGGGUGGAGUGUAUGUAGAGGAAAAAUUAAUAAUUUUUUCUUAUCCAUUGCUGGGGGUUCAUGAUUGGGGCCUGUAUAACACAUGGCAGAUUAAUAAGAGAAACACACAGAAAUCUGUUUAAUAGAAGCUUUGUGUGACACAAGAGCCUUCAGAACUGAAUACCCAAAGAAAUGGGAGAACUCUAUUUUUAUGAAAGUCACACAGAGUGUGAUUAGGGGAUAAAUGGGUAUGGUCUAAAGGGGAGGAAGAGGGAAAAAGAUAAAAGAGUGAGAUUCCUAGGUUUUAUGACCUGCUUCAGGGGAGAAGGGUGUGUGUGUGUGUGUGUGUGUGUGUGUGUGUGUGUGUUUUAGCUGGAUCCAGUGGCAUGCCUAUAAUUCCAGUAACUUGGGAGGCUGAGGCAGGAGGAUCACAAGUUUGAGGCCAGUCUCAGCAAUUUAGGAAGGUCCUAAACAAUAUAGUAAGACCCUGUCUCUAAAUAAAAAAUAAGAAGGACUGGGGAUACAGCUUAGUGGUAAAGCAGCCCAUCUCUAGUACCCACCCCCUAAAAAAGGUGUAUGUGGAAGUGGGACUUCUUCUACUGUUUUCUCAAAUGCCAAGGUACCAUAUUUUAGGGUGACAUAUCCUGAACUCAGUCAAGAAGAGAUGGAGAUAAAGAGGAUGGGCUCAGAGAGUUUUGACUGACUCAAUGCUAUAUUCUCUUUCCUGUAAGAAGUUUAGCAUGGUAAUAGGCAUGCUGAUUCUUCUCUCCAACCUGCCUUUUUGAAGUAGCUUGACCUCCAUUUUGCCAAAGAAAGAAGUUCUUUCCCCCAUCCUAAAUCUAUUGAACUGCUUUGUCUUUAAGUGUUAAACCCCCUGGGUUGGUGUUGAAAAGUAAAUGUUUCUUAUUGUCAAGCAACAUGUGCAUUUCUAAGUCAUUUUCUCAUUUUGACUUAGAACAAAAUUGAAGGAGGAUGCAAUGUUACCUGAUAGAAUAUUCAAAAUUGUUUUGGAUAAUAUGUCAAUACUAGACAUGUAACUUUUAGAAGUCCUUUGGGACAGUGGUGGUGUCCACAUGACAGGAUACCUCAGAUACACCUCUACUUUGAACAAGUUUUCUUAACAUAGAAAAUCUGUUAAAAGAAGAAAUGGGGCUGCAGUGUAGCUCUGUGUAAAGCAAGCAGCCCUGGGUUUGAUCCCCAGCACCAAAAAAGACAAAUAAAAUAAAUAAAGGAGUAGAUUUUUUGCUGUACUGUUUAAAUCUAGCACAAAAUGAAAAUUUUAAAUAGAUAUGAUAUACAUAAUUAUUAGGGAAACAACACCCCAUUUAUCUCAUUAAGAAUUUCUAGUAAAAAAUUACUUUUUAUAUUUAGCAAGUAUUUUAUUGACAUUUGUAUGGUAUACUAUUAAUACUACUAAAUGUAAUAACUAGUUCAGAAAUUAUUUAUAGUACUUAGAGCUCUCACCAAAGAAAAUCCCAGGACCCCUCCCCUGCAAAAAAAAAAAAAAAAAAAAGCUCCUUCAUUGCAUUCUGCCAACAUUUAAAGAAGAACUAAUAUUAGUUCUCCCUAAUUAUUCUAAAAGAAUAAGAAAGAAUUUUUCCAAACAUAUUUUAUAAGGCCAACAUUACCUUAAAACCAAAACCAGACAAGAAUGUAAUAAAAAAAACCCAGAAACUAUAAACCAAUAUCCUUGAUGGACAUCAAUGCAAAAAUUCUCAACGAAAUACUAGUAAGUGAAAUCCAGCAGCACAUUACAAAGAUUAUUCACCACCAUCAAGUGGGAUUUAUCUCAGGGAUACAAGGAUGGUUCAGUGUAUGCAAAUCAAUGAACAUAAUGUAGCACAUCAGCAGGACAAAGGAUAAAACUUAUGAGCAUCUCAAUAAAUGUAGAAAGAUGUUUGAUACAAUUCAACACCCCUUCAUUAUAAAAAUUUGGAACAAAUAAGAUAUCGAAGAUAUGUUCCUUAGUAUAAUAAAGCCCAUUUCUAAUAAACCAACACCAACAUUAUGCUGAACCAGGGAAAAACUGGAAACUUUCUCAGAUCUGAAAUAGGACAAGGAGGCCUGUUUUCAUCACUUUUUUAUUUGACAUAAUACUGGAAAUCUUAGCCAGAGUCACCAGGCAAGGGAAAGAAAUAGAGCAUCCAAAUUGGGAAAGAAGUCAGAUUGUCACUGUUUGCAGAUGACAUGAUUUGAUAUGUAGAAACCCCCCAAAACUCCACCAAAAAAUUAUUAGAACUAAUAAAUCAACUUAGCAAAGUUACAGGAGAGACAGAAUCAAUAUACAAAUAUCAAUGUAUGCUAACAAUGAAUUAAUUAUCCGACUAGAAAUUAAGAAACCAAUUCCAUUUACAACAGCUACCAACCCCCCCCCCCCAAAAAAAAAAACCUAGGAAUAAAUUUAAACAGAGAGGUGAAAGAGCUCUACAGUGAAAAUUAUAAAAUGUUGAUUAAAAAAAAAUGAAAGUGAACAGAAAAAGUGGAAAAUAUCCUGUGGUCAUGGGUUGGAAGAAUCAGUAUUGUUAACAUGUCCGUUUUACCCAAAGCAGUUUAUAGAUUGAAUGCAAUCUCUAUCAAAAUGCUGGUGGCGUAUGGCUGGAGGACUUGCCUAGCAUGCUCCAGGCCCUGGGUUCAAUUCCUAGUACUGAAAAAAUUAAAAAUGGCAUUCUUCACAGAACUACAAAAAAAUUAUGAAGUUUAUAUGGCACCACAAAAAAGCCUGAAUAGGCAAAGCUGUCUUGAGCAAAAAGAACAAAGCAGGAGGCAUUAUAUCACCUGACUUCAAAACAUACUAUGAAGCAGCAUGAGCAAGGCUCUGGUCUGGGUUUAGUCCCCAGCAUUGGGGGGGGGGGGAUAUGUGUGUGUGUGUGUGUGUGUGUGUGUGUAUAUGAGGAACUAUGAAACCCAUACAUCUACAGCCAACUGAUUUUUAAACAAUCAUGCUAAGAAUAUCCACUAGAGAAAGGGCAGUCUUUUCAAAAGUGGUCCUUGGAAAUUGAAUAUCUGUCUACAUGCUAAAAAAUGAAACUAAAUCUAGACACCUUUUUUUAAAAAAAGAAAAAAAACUCAAAAUGUACUGAAGACUUAACUAUAAGACCUGAAACUACAAAACAACUAGAAAAAAACAGAAGAAAUUCUUCAGGACAUUGGAAUGGGCAAGAGAUUUUUUUGGACAAAACUCUGAAAGUACAGGAAACAAAAGCAUAAAACAGACAAAUGUUAUUUGCUCGAACUAAAAAGCAAAGGAAACAGUCAACAGAGUAGACAGACAACCUACAGAAUGGGAGAAAAUCUUGGAAACUAUACUUCUGAGAAGGGGUUGAUAUCCAGAAUACACAAGGGACUCCACUAAAAAACACAACUAAUUUGAUUUUAAAAUAGGCAAUAGACCUCAGUAGACAUUUCUCAAAAGAAGACAUAUAAAUGGCCAGCAGGAAUAUGAAAAAGUGUUCAAUACCACUAAUUAUCAGGAAAAUUCAAAUCAGAACCACAAUAAGAUAUCACCUCACCCCAGCAAAUAUGGCUAUGAUUAUAAAACUAAGAUAAUCAAUGCUGGUGAGGAAGUGGGAUAAGGGAACCCUUGCACACUUUUGGUGGGAUGUAAAUUUGUACAACCAUGGUGGAAAACCAUAUGAAUGGUCCCCCCAGAAUUGAAAAUAGAGCUGCUGUGUGAUCCAGCAGUUUCAUCCCUGGGUAUGUAUCCAAAAGAAAUCAGUGUGUCCAAAAGACAUCUGUACUCCCAUGUUUAUUGUAGCAGUAUUCACAGCCAGAAGUGGAAACAACCUAAGUGUCCAUCAGCUGAUGAAUGGACAAAUAAAAUGUACAUACUCAGCAUGAAAUAUGGUUUGAUCAUUAAAAAAAAGAAUGAAAUCCUGUCAUUUGCAGCAGUAUGGAUGGAAAUGGAGAUCAUUAUAAGUGAAAUAAACCAUCCAUAGAAAGACAAGUACUGCAUGAUCUUGCUCCUAUGUGGGAUGUAAAAAAGUUCAUCUCACAGAAGUUGAGAGUAGAAAGGCAGUUAACAGAGGCUUGGCAGAGUAGACUACAGGGGAGGGAUACAUGGAAAGAGGUUGAUUAAUGGGUGCUAAGUUACAGUCAGAUGGAAAUAAGAAGUUCUGGUGUACUAUUAUUCUGGUGUAGGCUGACUAUAGAUAAUUAUGUGUAAUAUUUUAAUAUUAGUGUAAUAUGUACAAUAUUAUAAUGCCAUACCUUUUAAAAGUUGGAAAGAUUUUGAAAGUUUUAACCAUAUGUAAUGAUAAAUGUUUAAGGAGAUAAAUGUUUAAGCUGAGUUAAAUAUUGCACAAUACAGGCCUGUCUUGAAGCAUGACAUGUUAACCCAUUAAUUAUGUACCAUUUUUAUGGUUUUUGUGUGUCAUUUAAAACUGGGAUGGUAUUUUAUUACAUUGGAUACAUUCAACUAAGUCAUGAAACAGUUUCAUUUUAAAACAUCAAUUUUUAUGCUCCAAAUUAUAUCCUUUGGUACUCUUUAAACUCUUGAUGAAAAAUGUUAGUUAUCAUCUUAGAUAUAUACUCCCAAGUGCAUAGUUUUAAAAAUUCUUUUAUAGUGAUAACUUGUGUGGAAAAGUUAAGGAUCUCUGAAUUACAGACACCUAGAGAUAAGCUUAAAUGUGAAAGUAGACAGAAUAAAAUAUUUCCAGUUUUUCCUUAACCAGUAAGCCUUUUAAUAGCAAUCCUUAUAUACAAUUAUGUGUACUCUGUUUGUAUUUACUUUAUAUAUUAUUAUAGUUUUAUCAUAUAAAAAUUUCUAAGGCAGUGAUUCAUCCAGCACUCUCCACUGGAACAGAACCAACUUUACUUCUGGUCUGGAAUGAUCCCCCUACCCUAGACCAAGAGGACAUAUAUUGUGCAGUUUGGGAGUACGUGGCAGGGGAAGGUUUGGGGUAUGUUGCUGAGAAAUUGGGAGGAGUUACUGUCAGGAUCAGAUGUGAACAUUUAUUUAACUCUGUUCCCUUGAAUUGUAUCCUCUUGUCAUGGGAAGUGCCUCCCGACGCCUUUUGAGGCCAGCCAACUAUUCCCAGUAGGUGUUGUCUUUAGAGAGUCCAAGAGAGCUAGAAGGAAGGACAGCUGCCUUCUACUUGACCACAUUUGGCAGUCCCUCAGUGCUGGACAUUCUGUUCCUCUGAGGGCCUAGGAGAGUGAGCUAAGCCUUCCCAGGCUCAAAAGUGCCCUUUUUGUUCUGAACCUGGCAUUGGGACCCACAAGCAAUAGUGUCAGUGGCGCCCUCUCCCUUAGUACAUGCACCUCUGUAGUUCGACGGAGGGGCAAGGAAGGAGUGCCUUCAUGUUCACCCAACUCACACCUUCAAAUUGAUGAGCAGAGGAACUGGGAGCGUGUCGGGUUAGGGAAGAGGAAAUCGGAAGCAGACCAACUUGAGAAGGCAGCUAUGAAGCACAGACAUGUUUUCCUCCCAUCUUUCCUGUCUAUACCCAUCUUUAUAAGCUGUCUUUCAGCUUGUUAGUGGAAUGCCUUGUUCAAUCUUGCAAUUGGCAUGUAGCAGAUAGUGUCUUAAAUCAGUAUACUUGUGGUAAAGAAGUAACUGUGCUUAAAUGGCACUCUCAGGGCUUUGAAGGUAGAAAUGCUUUACCAAAGCAGGGCUCUGGAAACUCUUUUGAGAUGAAUGAGCCAAUGUCAGGCAUUUAACUUCAAAUAAUUAGUCAUGGGACGCAGGAACAUUUAAUUAUCAAAAUUUUGUGUCUAGAAUUUUUUUUUAAAGAAUUUAAUGAGUGUGUGCUCUGCCAAAUAUAAAAUAUUCCAUGAUGAUUGGGGAAAAGAUAUGUAAAUUUUCCUCUUGGCCAUUUCUCUGUUUGACCAUAAUUUGUGGCAUUAAAAUAAUGUUUUAUUUGUGCUAAUUUGCUGCACUCUCUGCCGUUUCUUCCACAGUACCCAGUCUAAAGUUGGUGAGACCAAGGCAAAGUGACUUUGUAUUGUGACUGAAAAAAAAAAAAAGCUGAAGUAUUAUUUCCAAUUACUAGCUUAUUCUUAAUUCAUGAAUAUCAUAUUUCUUCAGAUAAGUUGUAAUGGGUUAGAUAAUAUAAAUCAGAUAGCUUUUAUUGAAACCUGACAGGGUAUAUAGGAAUAGUUAUCAUCUGUCCUGAUUAUUUGUCUUAAGCAUUAGAUGUAAAUUUUUGUUUGUUUUGUUUUCUAAGGUUGGGGAAGAAAUAAAAUGAAUAAGUAAGAUAAAAUUUAACCUAAAGGUUUACAAUUUUAUAUUUGAGGGGCUUUAAAGAAAUUAUAAUAUGUUACAAACCCAUUUUACUCAUUAGCAAUGUAUCCUUUUUCCAUAUAUCAGAAUAAGGUAUCCUUACUAUCUAAAUAUAUGGGUUUAUUUAUUUUUUCAUUUUAAGGUCACCAUCCACCUUCUGCUUCUACUCUGAAUUAAAAACUAUGCCAACAUUUAAGUAACAUCAAAGAUUUUAUUUAGAUUGACAGGUAUCCAAUUGAGUUAUGAAUUUCGUACAACUUAUAUUGCUAUUUAAAUGCAAAGUAUUUUUAUAAUCGAAAAUACAUGUCUGUUCAUCACCCAGUCUGUACAUCACAGGAUGACUUUUAGGAAUUACCCUCCAAUCAAAUAGCUGAAUAGAUCCUGGGAAAAUUGCUUCUGUUUCUGGCAGUCACUCUUCCUGAACUGAAGGCAAGGGUCACUUAACAUGAAGGCACUCAAACGUGAACAGAAUUAACCACACAAAAGCCUGGUAGUGGUUCAGUGAACACAGGCUGGAAGCAUUUGGAGAUAGUGUGUUAAAAGUGAACAAAUGAGACCCUGGGGCUCUGGACACUGGCAUUGUGGUGCUGUCUAAACUGCAAGAAACUGGGUGAGCCCACUGUCAGCCAUAGUGUCUUCUAGUCAAGAAAUAAAUAUCAUAGGCUUGAACUCGAUUUGGUUCAUUAACAAACUAUAGCUGUCCCCUGACAACUUGUAUUUCAAAUAUGACCUACUUCUUGAAACAAGGACUUUGUCUUUUUAACAUGAACAAUAUGAUAUGUAAGAUGAAUUGGCAUUCUUGACAAAUCUAAGUGGUUUCACUAGAACUAAUAUUAUGUUACCUAACAUAGAAUAAAUAGACUUAUUUAGAAGCCUUAAUAACCAUAUAUCAAUAACUGAUCUUUAAUAUAGGUAUUAUGUGGCUUUGAUUUAAAAGAACACUGUGCUAUAGCAGAAGGCUGCUUUUAAAGCUCUAAGCAGUAGUCUUGCCCUGCAGGAUUUUGGCUGUAGGUCCGCUUGAGACCCAUCUCAUAUGCUACCACAUCCAGGAAGUUGUUGUCAUUGUUUUUUGUUGUUGUUUGUUUUGAUUUUGAUACUUGUUAAACAUAGUAUUGUUAUUCUGAGUUUUUCUUGCUAGUGGAAAACAUAGAAACAGAAACAGCUUCGCUAAUAAGAGACCUUUGUUGAACACCUCCCAUGGGCAAAACCCUAUACCGCAAUACAAGGGGAUACAGGGAUGCAUCCUUCAUUAUAUAUAUAUAUAUUUUUUUUUUUUCAGUUGUAGGUGGACACAAUACCUUUAUUUUUAUGUGGUGCUGAGGAUUGAACCCAGUACCUCACGUGUGUCAGGUGAAUGCUGUACCACUGAGCCCCAGCCCCAGCCCUGUAUCCUUCAUUUUAAUAAGCUCUCAAGGCCUAUUUAUUUAUUAAGAUCUUAGGGCCUUAUUAUAUAUAAUUAUGUUAUAUAGUUUUUCUUGUAUGUGUUAUAAAUAUUUUAAAAAUAUGUGUGGAAUAAUCCUUGUUUCUAGAUAGUUUAAGGAUGGGGAAAAACUAUUGAGCUUCAUCUAAAAGGUAAAGAAUUACUCCAAAUGGGUUGGUUUAUGAUGUGUAGGAAAUUUUUUUCAAUUCUUUUUUUUUUUUUUUUUGGCACCAGGGAUUAAACCCAGGGUACUUAACCAUUGAGCCACAUCCACAGCCCUUUUUAAAAAUUUUUUUUUAUUUGUUUUAAUUAGUUACACCUGACAGUACAAUGACCUUGACAUAUCAUACAUUUGAAUCAGAUGGGAUGUAACUUCUCAUUUUUCUGAGUGUACAGGUUGCAGAAUCACAUUGAUCAUGCAGUCACGUAUAUACACACAGCAAUAAUAAUGUCUAUUUCAUUCUACUGUCCUUCCUUUCCCCCCUUCCUCUCCCCUCCUUCUCCCAUCACUUCUGUAGCCCUUAAAAAAAAAAUUGAGACAAGGUCUCACUAAGUUGCUGAGUCUGGUCUUGAACUUUGCAAUCCCCCUGCCUCAGCCUCCCAGGUCUCUGGGUUACAGGUAUGUGCCUCAACAUCUGGCUCAGCGUUUUAAUUCUUUAAGUGGAUGGUAGUUAAAUUAUUUACUUUGUUAUUACCCAUUAAGUUGUUUAUAUUUGUGUUUUACUCUUUUCUUUAAGUCUUAUUAUAAUUUAUAACUCUUAUAAAUGAAAACAUGAAUCCUUCAGAGGAAUGAGUUGGUCAGAUCAUACUUCUCUGUAACCCAAAUUCUCAGCUAAUAUAGAAGAUUGUUUCUGGAAAGUGGUCUGAUGAGGGGGAAAAAAGUUUAGAGAAAGAAAACAGAGUUAGUAGUGCAUGUUGGUAAAAUGAAAAAUCAGUAAACCUAAAUAAUGUAUCACCUAAAUUUCUCUGCAAACUUCAGUAACCAAAUGUCCUAGCAUUACUGAAUUGAUUUACUUUCUCCUUAAAUGGUGGUAUGGCAAAAUCUCACUAAUUUUAACUGAUUAGGAAGAUAGGUACUACUUUUAAGGGCAUAUUUAGUGACCUUAAAGAAAGCUAAUUGUUGAAUUGGGGUUAAGGUUAGCGUAUAAAUGGAUACUUCAGAAAUGCUUCCAGUAAGUUAAUGCUUUUAAGUGUAGUUCUGUUAUUGUAUGGAUUACAUAGCUGUGAAGCAGGAGAAGACAUAUAAAUGGACUUUUAGUACAGAAAAAAAACAGACUAUGCAUAUAAGUGAUGAAUAGUUUAUAAAUUUUAAUAUAAAAGAACCAUGAAUUAGAUUGUUUUACUGACAACAACAUAUCUCAUUUGUGCUGUAUGGAUGAGAGUUAUAUUAGUAAAUUAGUCCUGACAGUUGAAUAAUUUAUUUUCAAGUCUUGCCAUACUGCUUCUGAGUGUCUGUGACAGAGAGCAUGCUUGUAAAUUCUUUUGGAAAAUCGUGUGUGUGUGUGUGUGUGUGUGUGUGUAUUUUUUGGUACUAGGGAUUGAACCUAAGAACAUUUAAUCACUGAGCCACACACCCCUAGCCUGUUUUUUAUGUUUUAUUUAGAGACAGGGUUUUUCCAAGUUGCUUGGGGCCUCACUACAGGUUCCUGAGGCUGGCUUUGAACUCACAAUCUUCCUGUCUCAGCCUCCUGAGCCACUAGAAUUAUAGGCAUACACCAUCAUACCUGACAAAAGCUAGUAUUUCAUUUAAAAAAUUAUGAUUAGGAUUCUGCAAAUAAUCAAAUAUUAAUUUCUUUAAGCGUACAUAUAAACAUAGCAUGCAAAUUUUCUAUGUGAAAGUAUUCUUCAGUUUUAGUUUCAGCUUAUUCAUUAAUUUUGGAAAAUUUGAUUGGAAGUAGACUAAGUGUGCUUAAACAACUUCACUUUCCUUAAAGUGAGUGAUUGUGAGACUAAGAAAAGACUAGUCAGUCUAGAGAGACGAGAGUUUAUUCUUAAGCUAGUUACACAGGGCUUUGGCUGACAUAAUGUUCACCUUUACUCUGCUCUUUUGCGAUUGAUAUCAGUGGCACUGGGAAUUGGUCUCUCUGAUGUAUCCUCCUUUCCCCAGCCUGUGUAAACAGCCCUAUUACAUGAAGGUUUCUUUCAUUAAUAUUGUAAAUCAUUAAUACCUGUUGAAAACAAUACCACAUUUAAAAAAAGCUCAUUAGUAACAAUUACAAAUAUUAAUGUUAGGCCACACCUACUGUCUGGUACACAAAUGAAUUAAUCUCUCCUGCCCUGGCUCCAGGGCAGUACCACAUGGGGUUCCACAUGUGAAAAGCAGCUCCAUUCCAGGUCUGCAUCUGCAAUUUUGAGAGUUAGCCCUUGUGAUUUUAAUGGUCAUGUGGCCAUGGCAAAAGUGACUUUAGACAAUGACACUUUCCACAUUCGAUACACAUGGAGUAGUUCAAGGGAAUGGGUUGUGUCCCAUUUAUUAUAUCUUGCAAAAUUUACCCCAUGGCUACUCUUUAUAACAUUGAAUUUGGAAUGUUGUUCAGUUAUUCUUACUGGCUGCAUCAUAAACUCACCUUUUAGUUCUGGAUAUAUCAGACUCACCCGUCCAUAUCCAGAUUCCAAAACAGGAACAAAGUUCAGAUUGAAUCCCCGUCGGAUUCCUUAGAAUAAUAGUUUUAAGAACUCUUAUUUGAAAUUUGUUUUCUGUGUAAAAAGCAUAUUUAUUAAUGCCUCUGUUUCCAGGAGGGUAACCAGACAUACUUCCAAACUCCUCUGGAAAGAAGUUUCCAGUUUCGGGAGUGCUCAGAUGUUCUUCUUGUCUUUCAGUCUUGGUUGUCCAUGAGAAAAGGAAUUCUUCUCUUAGUUGUAUAUCAAAUGCUCUCUUCAUUGGAUGUGCCUUUCACUUGUCCUCUGAAGGAUCUCUCUCUUACUGUUGCCCCAUAAUUUGAACUGACUUUUGGGCUGUUCUUAGGUGGGGCCUAUAUGGUAGAUGGACAGCAGUGUAUUGUGGUGGGUGAGAGGAAAGUCUCUUGAGUCAGUCUGCUCAGUUUCAAAGCUAUAUGCCUUAGGAUAUGGGACCUAUCUUUGAAAAUGGGAUAAUAUUAGUAUGUACUUCAUAGGAUUUUUUUGAGGAUUAUCUGAGUAAAUAUGUGUGAAGCGCUUGAAACAAUACCUGAUGCAUAGUAAGUGCUCAAUAAAUACUAGUGCUUUCUUAAUAUUGCCAACUCAUCUUCAGAAUUCAAACCCUCAGAGGUUAGUGAUGAGUAUGCUUUGUGUUCAAGUGUUCUAUGGACAUAUACCUGCAAGAACAACCCUGAGGAAGAAGUUCCUGCGUGCCACAUAAACUUAUUUGAGGCAUAUGGGCAUCCUCAAUGGCUGUUUCCCCUACUCAUCAGAAUUGCCUCUUCCCAGGUGAGGUCAUGGACACUGGAGAAAAGUUGUCACCAGAGCCCAUGCAUCUCAGUCCUAAGGGCUUUUCAGCCUCUGCCCUGAGAACAGGAUCCAGAGCUUCAAAACUAGUGUCUCACUUAUCUUUAUUUUGACCAUGAUUUCCAACAUCACAUCUGCUGUGGGCUCCCUCUGCUGGUCCAUCUAGCAUGUAUGCAAAUCUGUGAAAUAACUGCUUUUAAAAAUUCAGUUUUAGGUUUUUAAGAAUGUUUCCAUAAAAAACACAUGUGGAAAAUUUGUUUUGUAUGUGAGUGAUACAUGUAACAUCUAUCUUACUCUGUUUUGCUAUUCAGAUUAUGAAUAGGGAUAUUUUCAGGUUUGGUAUUUUUUCUUCUUUUUGGUUUGAUUUCAGAUGGGGGCUAUCAUGACAUGCUGAGAAUUUCUUCACAAUAUAGUUACCAAGAACUAUUAUGUUUUAUAUUCCAACAUAUGGUACUAAAUAUCCCAGAAUCUUAUAUUAACAAAGUAAAUAAUGUCCAUUAUAUGGGAACUUAAUUUACUCUGAAAGUAUCAAAAAAGUCACUGCCUAGAUUUCUGGAACAUUGUUGAGGGGUUAGUACACGUCCAAAGCUAGUACCUCAUAUCUGGGCACUGUCUUGCACACUUGUGAUCCCAACAAUUUGGGAGGCGGGGCAGGAGGAUUGAAGGUUUGAGACUUGCUUCAGCAACUUAGAUCCUAUCUCAUAAUAAAAAAACAGGACUAUCAAUGUAGCUCAGUGGUAAAGUACCCCUGGAUUCAAUCCCCAGUACCAAAAAAGGAAAAGAAAAAGGCAGGGAGGGAAGGAAAGAAAAUAGUACGUCACAUUUUUUUGGAUGGUUCAUUAUUUAUUGGGAGUUAUAAUCUAUGGGUACAAAGUGCCACAAUGUCCCUACAAUUGCAUUUUAAAGUAAUAAUUCUGCUAGGCAUGAUGGAAUACACCUGUAAUUCCAACAACUUGGGAAGCUGAGGCAGGAGAAUCACAAAUAUAAGGCCAGCCUGAACAAUUUAGUGAGGCCCCAAGCAACUUAGCAAGAGCCUGUCUCAAAAUAAAAAUAAAAGGGAUUGGGAAUGUAACUUGGUGGUUAGGCACCCCUGGGUUAAAUCCCCAGUAAAAAAGAAAAAAAAAUAAAUAAAGGGUGGAGGAUGAAGCUCCGUGGUAGAGUAAAACUGGGUUCAAUCCCUAGUACCUAAAUAGAUAAAUAAAAAUAAUUCUUAUGUUUCUUUGUUUUCUUUAUCUCUGUCUCCUUUCUCUCUUUGGUGUUUUCUUCCUCACCUUUCCUAAUAGGAUCAAAUAGCAUAAACCGGAUAACUACAAACCUGGAAAAUGGAGAAACUGAAGGAACAACUAAAAUUAUUGCACCUUCGCCAAUAAAAAGGUCAGUAGUUACUAAAGAAAUAUGCAACCAUAUGCUGUCAUAUAUCCUUGUUGGCAAGGUUAAGAAUUUUUUCACUUUGAAAAAAUUAUCUGAUUUUGCUCCAUGGGUCCUGUAGAUAGUCUCCGGGCCAAGGACUAUUUUAAAAUGCCAGUAAAAUAUUAAACAUCAAGACCUGCCUCUCUUAUUGGAGAAAAUGCUUUUACUUUCAGUGUGAUGAACUCACAGACCAUCCAUGGUCUGCAUUCGCAACAGCAAAGUGAAAAUUCCAUGUGAUUUUUUUGAAAUGGUAUGAUAUAAUGGACUAACUCACAGGGACUUGUGAAAUAAAGUAGAUGAUAUUUAUGUGUAAUGUACUGUGUUCAUUACAGUAGUGCGCCGAACUGUGGCCCCGGAAAGAGAGUUUAUAGCAUGUAGAAGCAUCAGAGCCUCAGAGUCAGCAAUUGCAUAUGUAUGAAGAGUUGUUACGGUCUUCUGCAUCAGUUUUCCCAGAGGCAUUCCCCAGUGGAAAAACCUUCUCUUAAUAUAUUACAUGGAUUGUUUUCCUGAAAGAUCUGCCUUGUUCUACUUUCAGACACUGUUUCAGGGUCAUUUUUUUUCCCCUAUCUCCAAUUAUGUUCAUGGAGUAGCAUUAGAAACGUACAAUGAGCCGCUUUCAUAGGCUCGCUUUCUCUUUAGAUGUUGCCCCCAUACAUCAUGGAGAAGUUCAAGCACUCACAGAUAUGUGACCUGAUGUAUUUCUUACAUCAUUGACUCCAUCUUUUGUUAGUAAAUAAUGGUGUCUUCCUUUAGCUAGAGUGUGGCUACUUUGAGGAAUCUAGUUUAUAAUUCCUGCACAAUAAUAAUUUCUGCACAAUAUUAUAUUUUUAAAAUUUAUUUAUUCAAAUUUGUUAUAUAUGAUAGUAGAAUGCAUUUCAAUUCAUAGUACAUAUAUAGAGCACAAUUUUUCAUGUCUCUGGUUGUACACGAAGUAGACUUACACCAUUUGUGUCUUCAUACAUGUACUUGGGAUAAUGAUGUCCAUCUCAUUCCACUGUCUUUCCUACCCUGCUGUCCCCUCCUUUCCCUUCCCUCUCUGUUGCCCUAUCUAAAGAUCCUCCAUUUCUCCCAUGCCUCCUGUUAUGGAUCAGCAUCCUCAUAAAAGAGAAAACAUUCAGCAUUUUUUUUGGGGGGGGAUUGGCUUAAUUCACUUAGCAUAAUAUUCUCCAACUCAAUCUAUUUACCUGAAAAUGCCAUGAUUUUGUUCUCUUUUAAUGCUGAGUAAUAUUCCAUUGUGUAUAUAUACCACAUUUUCUUUAUCCAUUCAUCUACUGAAAGGCAUCUAGGUUGGUUCCACAAUUUAGCCAUUGUGAAUUAUACUGCUGUAAACAUUGAUGUGGCUGUGUCCCUAUAGUAUGCUGUUUUUAAGUCCUUUGGGUAUAAUAAACAAGGAGUGGGAUAGCUGGGUCAAAUGGUGAUUCCAUUCCAAGUUUUCCAAGGAAUCUCCAUACUGCUUUCCAUAUUAGUUGCACUUCACAAGAUUAUUUUAAGAUAUGAGGAUUCUCAGAGUUUUGCAGUUUCUCGCAGGGUUUUGCCUACCUACAUGAACUUUUCUUCAGUUCCAAGAUAUUACAGAUUUCCUUUUUGGAAUGACACACUCUUUUUAAAAAUUAUUAAAUUAAAUAUAUAUAUGUUGUAAAUGAACCUUUAUUUUAUUUAUAUGUGGUGCUGAGACUCAAACCCAGGAUCUCACACAAGCUAGGCAAGUGCUCUACCACUGAGCCACAAUCCCAGCAUCUGAAAUGACAGAUUCUUUGAAUGAUACACUUCCAUCUACUGUCUCUGCUGGUUGACCUCACACUUAUGAACAGGGAGUCAAUGUCUUCUGCACAUACAGGGUAUGCUUAAGGUGUGUCCAGCAUCAGAACAGUAAUCUUCCCUGAAGAUCAAAUUCUGGGUCUUUUAGAACACACAUAAAAUAAUUCAAUCCCCUUUGUGACUGCAUUCCUGCUUAAGGGUAGUACUGACACCUGAGGGGGCUCCAAGUUACCACUGAAGCUCCAGGUGUGAAACAGCUUAGGGAAAAAAAUGGAAUUAACCUGGGAUUUCGUUAUUAUUAUUAAUGUCGGUCUACGCUCAAUUCCUCUUUCAUCUCCCUUUUUUUCCUACUCCCCACCUCUUGCUUUUUCUUUCUUAUUUAUUAAAUGCACACACAGUUUCUACUAUUGUAUUCAAUCGUCACCAUAUUUACUAAUUUUUCUCAUUUCAAAAGGUAAACUUUUACUUUGGGAAUUUGAACUUCAGAUUUUUUUUAAACCUUUAUAAAAAUAAUAUAUUGUUCCUAUAUAAAAUGUACCUGCUACCUACCAAGACUAUGGCGUAUAUGCCUUUGUUGGAUGUAUUAUUUCAUAGGUGUCUAUUAAUUUCUGUAUGGAUAUAGUAUGCUAGGGUACCAGUUCAUUUCUUUUCCUUUUGAAAUGACCUUGUCAGAAUUAUGAACUCUACUGUAUUCCUAUUCUAGGAUCUCUCAAAAGCCAGGGUUAAAAGUAGUUAGGAGUUAAGAAGCUUUACCUUUUUCUGGAGCUUAGACUCCUGAUGAAGGGAGGAGUGACAUCCCUCCACCCCAACUGGUGACCUCUGAAGAGUCUCCUUCCUAUGUGUUUCUAAAACAAUUUGUUAGGGUUGAAUAACAGCUCAGUUAUAUUUACCUUCUUAGGGCAGAAAGAUGAUACUAAGUCAGGAAAUAGCAUUUGAAAGUAAUUCUGAUCUGGAAGGAUGAAGCCAAGAUUUAGCGGAAGCUGGGGAAAGGUCAGUUUGGGCCACCCAGGGCUGAGCCUGCCCAGAGUUGACUGACCUCCAGAGAUUCAGACCUGAGUUCAGAGCCAGGGAGUCUGCACUCCCUGGGAGUCUGUUGCACAGAGGGCGCUAGUCACAUAAGCCUGGCGGCCCAGGUUUCCUUCCUCUGCUUGCUUCUCUCCUUGGUUUUGUUGUUAUCCUUGCUUCCUGUCCUGAGGUGGACACUUGAAAGUUUAUUAACAAAUGAUAGACCUGUCUUCUAUUGACCUAAAGCAGUAAAACUAGAAGCAGGGAGGAAGCCCAGUGGAACUUGCUGGAGAAAUAUAUUUUUCAGGCAGUUACCUCAUGUUCUUUUUGGAAUGAGUCACAGGUAUGAACAAGCAAACACACAUACACACACUCCUUAGCAUUUGUUAAGUAAUUUUACUAAAGAAAUCAGUAUGUGAAUUUACUUCCCUUUGUUUUCUAGUUAAUUUAUUUUCUAUUUUUUUUUAAUUAAAGCUUUAAGAAAGUAAAGAAUGAAAACAGCCCUGAUACCCAAAGAAACAAAUCUCAAGCACCGUGGGAAGAAAAUGGCCCCCAGAGGUAAAGGGACUCAUUCUUUUUAUAAAGAACAGUAACAAAAGGGGAUAGCAAUCUCAGCUCACUGACUAAAGGAAUCCCACCACUAUGUGAUUGCUCACUUGGGGAGAUUUCUAAGUUAGCAUGACUAGUGGGAAUUUCUGAAGUGGAAGUCAAUAGUAUGAUUUGUUUGGGGUGAGCAAGGGUGAGUAGUGGGGAUUGACCCGCACAGGGGCUCUACCAUUGAGCUACAUUCCCAGGCCUUCUUAAAAUUUUAAUUCUGAGACAGAGUUUUGCUAAGUUGCCCAGUCUGGCCUUGAACUUGGGAUCCUCCCGCCUCAGCCUCCCAGAUCACUGGGAUUGCAGGUGUGUGCCACCACACAUGACAAUAGUAUGUCUCUUCAUGUGAAACUUUUUUCCUGAAAAGACAGAAGGGAAAACUAAUGUAAGUUAAGAAAUCAUCUGAAAGUUCAUUAGGAUGGUUUAGAGUAAGAUAACAUUCUGCAAACUCUAAAUGACACCUUAAUGAUAAUUUCCCCUGCUGUGUAGUUCUUGUAAGAACUUCCAAGUAGACAUGUUGACCAUUCCUCUUUCACUCCAGUGGGCUCUACAACUCUCCCAGUGACCGCACUAAAUCACCAAAGUUCCCCUAUGCACGGCGUCGAAACCCCUCCUGUGGAAGUGACAAUGACUCUCUGCAGCCAAUGAGGAGAAGGUAAGUUGAGCACAGCUCCUCUGUUUGCAGUUUUCAGCAAACGCUUUGGUCCCAGGGUGUGCUGUUAUAACAGGUGAUUCUCAGAAUGCCAUUACUGGUCAUCUUCUCAAGGUAACAGGAAGUUUAUUCUUUUUUGAGAUAAAGCAAAUUAGGGAUGGUGAAGCAUUUAUCUGAAACAGCCAGAAUUUUAGAGAAAUAAUGAUGAAAUAUCAAUGGGAACUUGCUUUCUGUAUUUUAAUUUAUUAAUACAUUUUUAAAAAUAUGUCUUAUAUGUACUAUGCUAAUGAUAUGUGUAACAUGUAUAUUUUAUAGUAUAAAUAAUAUAUAUUAAAUAUUUCUAUCUGGGUGGACAAAGCCACAGUUAUCAUGUUUCUUAGCCAAGCCCGGCUGCUAUGCUCUCCAGAUUUACAUCAUUACAUAAAUACCAGUGAAACCCUUUCAAAGCACAGAGAAAAUGAAUCCUGUUAUCUUUUCCUUAGCAGGUCAGAACGUUCGUGUGAUUUUUUUCUUGUGUAUGUACACUUAAUCUUUAUACAUUCUUUAUACAUUUGUAAGUUUUGGACUCUGCAAAGCAGGCAGAGUAAUGUGACAGACGCAAGAGAGGAAGCCCUAGAAAUGACAUACCAGUGGAAUUUCUUUCACUUCUCAGGGGGAAUUACUUUGGCCACCCCACAUAAGCCACAUAAGUGGCUUUGAUAAUUAUUAAAAGUUCAGGUCAUAAUGUCAGAUAACCAUCAAGACUCUUUUUAUGCACAUUGUGGGUUUAGAAGCCGACUCCUCCUCUCUCUUGUGCCCUUGUUCAGGCUUGUUCAUCCUCCCCUUUGAUAUCUUCUACUGUUGAUUUCCCAUUCUUGCUCCCCAGCUUUCCCAAGUUAAGUCCAACUUCUCUCAAACCCUUUGAUGGUGAAGAAGAGUCUACAUGGCCUUCACCAAGUAGGAUUGACAAGAGGGAGCUAGAUCGCAAAGUGUUUGCUGUAUAUCUCACUUGAUUCUGAGAAUAGCUGUCUGGGAACUGGCAUUUUGAUACAGUCAUGAGGUAUUUCUAGUAGAGAGGGAUUAUUCAGGGAAUUGGUACAAAGAUGUGAGUAGGAUUUGAGGCACAAAAGGUGGAGAAUGGUAUAACCCAGCGAUCUAGCCACUGUUGUUGUCCCUGGACUGGUGGAAUACAAGAAGAGAAAGGGUUGUUAUUGUCCAGAAACCAGAGCUGUUUCUGCCUUUGAGCUGGCCUUCCUGAAUCUGCACUGCUGCUGACAUUGCUGGAGGCACCACCACUCUAGUGAAAGCUCUGGAACCCACUUUUCAGGAAUGUAGGAGUGGAUGCCACAGUUUCUGCCAGAAGCAAAAUCACCUUCCCUUUUUUCCUACCUUCAAAUCUUGCCUGAGUGCCUCUCCAACUAGAACCCAGCUGGCAAGGGAGUCCAGGAAAAUAUAAUUUCUUAGUUUCCAGUCUUACCAAAAAGGGGAGGUUAUUAGUGGGUCAGUAUGGCAAUGAUUACCAAUGAAAAAACCUGGCCAGCAUUAUCAUCUCCUUUCCAUAGAUGAGAAAACAGGCUGAGAGAAAUGGCAGUAGCUUGUCUUUUGUGGCACAUACGGAAUUUGAAUCCAGGUCUGUAGGUCAGAAAAAGAUGGGGAUAAUGAAUCAUUUAAAUAAGGCUCCAUCCUGCCCUUACUAAACUUUCUCCUUGAGACACCAAGAGUUAGUUCAACUUGUACAACUCUUAAAACCAAAGCAACAUCAUUACAAAACAUUUUAAAGCACAAUUUUUGUGUGUGUGUUGUUAGGGCGUUAAGUGGUGGAGAGGACUACAUGUAUUAAGGACUUUGCGCUGUAUUAUUAUUGUUCAGUGGGUAGAUUUUUAUACUUUUCAUCUGUAAUUAUUAGCACAAUUUUUCAGCACUCCCUAAAUAAAAUUAUUAUAUAUGCUAAAUAGUCAUUUUGAUUUUACUACAUUUGAAAAUAAAUUUACCAAGAUUUGCUUAGGUAUAUCAAAAUUCAAAUUGUGUGAAAUUAUAUGGACUAUAUACAUUCCCAAGUCCAAACUUAAUGAUUUCUAUACUGAGAUAUGUUUUCUGCUGGCUUCCUGUGAAAUACAGAGAAACAUUUGAAGAAAGUGGUUACAGGAUCCUUUCACUGGCAUAUAUUCCUGGGAAAGGAUCAUUUAAAUUUAUUGAGAAGAGAAUCUUUUUGCCUAAGUAUCUGUAGAGACUUCUGUCUGUUCUGCAUGUCACUUAAAGAUCUCUUGAUGGGCAUGUUCAUUUUGAGAAGACCAGACAUUGCUGCAUGUUGGCAUAGAAGAGCUAAAGUGCAUUGUUUUCUGUUUCUUUCCACUAUAAAUGACCUAUAAAUGUCCCUGUCCUUGUUAGUCUUGUUUUAUCUUCAUACAAAUUUACCUUGCUCCUGGGCACAAAUCCCUUCAUUGCUGGAUUAACUCUGACAUUUAAAAACUGAGAUUUGUCAUCAGCAUGGAAGAAUCUCAAGAAUUUACAGUUAAUAAUAGGAAGUUCUAUUUUGCUUUGGAUACCAGGAUAAAUAUGUUUUGCAAAAGAUACCAAAAUUUCUUAUUUGUCACUUGUUUGUCAUGAGUUGGAUGUAGGCUAUCAAAUUUUGGCCAAGUCUACUAUAGUGGUCCUUAACUUUUUUGGGGGCCAAAGAACCCUCUGAGAAUCUGAUAAAGCAUUGUGUUCAGUCCCUAAGGGAAAAGGUACAUAUAAACAUUUUCAUAUAGUUUUCAGGGUUUAUGGAGACCCUGAGGCCUGCUUGUUUCAACAUUUCUGCUGUAGGAAAAGAUAACCAGUACAUGUUCUGGAAGUACAGUGUAUUUGCACAGCUCAACUUCCAUCUUUACAUUAAAAAUCUUUAUUGAGUGCCAUUAGUAUGCUGGGUAGUAUGCUAAACAACACUGACAAAAUUCUUGUCCUUUGAGAGCUUACCAGAUGUUACAGGAGAAAUUUAUGUAUCAUGCAAAAAAAUGUGCAAUGGUGACUUUAAUAAGUUAUGUGAAGGUGCAUUACCUUUUGCUUAGAGGAAUUAAAAGAAAAUCUUGUUGAAACCUAGAAUACAUACAGAAAAGCACAUAUAUCAUAAGCAUAACUGCAUGGUAGAUUUUAAUAAAUCAAAUACCUGUACAACUAUUACUAUUAAGAGAAGUUUGCUGGAUCAAGGGGGUUGGGUAAGGUUUUCCUGAAGCUAGGCAUGUGAACCAGAAACUGAGAUAAAAGCAAAAGGAAAGGAAAGAUCAUGCCAGCCAGAGGUAGUAGAAGGGAUCAGAGAGCAUUCAUGAGAAGGAAAGAAGACAGUGUUGUUCAAACUCUGAGAGUGAAUAAAAAUAUAGAUGAGUCCAGAGAUAAAGAUGCGGACAGACUUUAUAGCCCAUCUGGGCUUGUUCAGGAAUUUGAUUCUUAGACCAGUAGUUGUUAUAAGGGAGUAUGAUAGUAUGAUUGCAUUUGUGCUUGUAAAGUUACUGUCCUGUGGAGAAACAGUGAAGGAGGCUAGUUUUGGAGAUGGAGAGACCAAGCAGCAGGCUGUAUUUCUAACCCUUUUUCCUUCAUUCCCAGAAUGCUAGAAGCUAAGCUUUUAUCUCCCAAGCAUGAGAUGAGAAAAUCCUACUGUAAAAAAUAGACAGGUACAAGAGAAAUACCUACAGAUCCUGACUUUGAAAGGAUCCCCAAUGAAGUGGUAGAAGCUGCCUCACAUUACAGCAAAGGGGUCAGUUAACAUGCUUGGCACCAUCUAGAUGGCUCUGGUCUCUUGAUUGCUUAGUGCUGAGAUAGGAAGAGAGAGCCAUUAUGAACUGCAUAUGAGGGUGGCUUCUGUCUUAAAAGGCCGACUGAAACAAACAAAUGAAAUGCAGAGAGAGAGAGGAA
rnacentral:lncRNA from 1 species